UACGAGGGACCUAGCGUUGUUCGGGAAUCAUUGGGCGUAAAGGGUGCGUAGGCGGCCAAGUAAGUCAGUUGUGAAAUCCCCGGGCUCAACCCGGGAAGUGCUUCUGAUACUGCUUGGCUUGAGUAUUGGAGAGGUGAGUGGAAUUCCAGGUGUAGUGGUGAAAUACGUAGAUAUCUGGAGGAACACCGGCGGCGAAGGCGGCUCACUGGCCAUAUACUGACGCUGAAGCACGAAAGCGUGGGGAUCAAAACAGG
rnacentral:rRNA from 1 species